rnacentral:rRNA from 1 species
AAUAGAUACCCUGGUAGUCCACGCCAUAAACGAUGACAACUAGACGUCGGAAGGAUCUGCCUUUCGGUGUCGCAGCUAACGCGUUAAGUUGUCCGCCUGGGGAGUACGGCCGCAAGGUUGAAACUCAAAGAAAUUGACGGGGACCCGCACAAGCGGUGGAGCAUGUGGUUUAAUUCGAUGCAACGCGAAGAACCUUACCUGGUCUUGACAUGUCCGGAAGGCCGCAGAGAUGUGGCUGUGCCCGAAAGGGAACCGGAACACAGGUGCUGCAUGGCUGUCGUCAGCUCGUGUCGUGAGAUGUUGGGUUAAGUCCCGCAACGAGCGCAACCCUUGUCCUUAGUUGCCAGCACUUCGGGUGGGCACUCUAAGGAGACCGCCGGUGACAAACCGGAGGAAGGUGGGGAUGACGUCAAGUCAUCAUGGCCUUUAUGACCAGGGCUACACACGUGCUACAAUGGCCGGUACAAAGGGUCGCCAACCCGUAAGGGGAGCCAAUCCCAUAAAGCCGGUCGUAGUCCGGAUCGGAGUCUGCAACUCGACUCCGU